rnacentral:rRNA from 1 species
UACGUAGGGUGCAGGCGUUAAUCGGAAUUACUGGGCGUAAAGCGUGCGCCGGCGGUUUGUUAAGACAGAUGUGAAAGCCCCGGGCUUAACCUGGGAACUGCGUUUGAAACUGGGAGACUUGAGUGUGGCAGAGGGGGGUGGAAUUCCACGUGUAGCAGUGAAAUGCGUAGAUAUGUGGAGGAACACCGAUGGCGAAGGCAGCCCCCUGGGCUAACACUGACGCUCAUGCACGAAAGCGUGGGGAGCAAACAGG